CGGAACGUACCAUUCAGUGGGGGAUAACGUAGCGAAAGUUACGCUAAUACCGCAUAUUCUGUGAGCAGGAAAGCAGGGGAUCGCAAGACCUUGCGCUGAUUGAGCGGCCGAUACCAGAUUAGCUAGUUGGUGAGGUAAAGGCUCACCAAGGCGACGAUCUGUAGCGGGUCUGAGAGGAUGAUCCGCCACACUGGAACUGAGACACGGUCCAGACUCCUACGGGAGGCAGCAGUGGGGAAUUUUGGACAAUGGGGGCAACCCUGAUCCAGCCAUGCCGCGUGAGUGAAGAAGGCCUUCGGGUUGUAAAGCUCUUUCGGCCGGGAAAAAAUCGCAUGGGUUAAUACCCUGUGUGGAUGAUGGUACCGGAAUAAGAAGCACCGGCUAACUACGUGCCAGCAGCCGCGGUAAUACGUAGGGUGCGAGCGUUAAUCGGAAUUACUGGGCGUAAAGCGUGCGCAGGCGGUUUGAUAAGACAGGCGUGAAAUCCCCGGGCUCAACCUGGGAACUGCGUUUGUGACUGUCUCACUAGAGUACGGCAGAGGGGGGUGGAAUUCCACGUGUAGCAGUGAAAUGCGUAGAGAUGUGGAGGAACACCAAUGGCGAAGGCAGCCCCCUGGGUCGAUACUGACGCUCAUGCACGAAAGCGUGGGUAGCAAACAGGAUUAGAUACCCUGGUAGUCCACGCCCUAAACGAUGUCAACUAGGUGUUGGGUGGGUAAAACCAUUUAGUACCGUAGCUAACGCGAGAAGUUGACCGCCUGGGGAGUACGGCCGCAAGGUUAAAACUCAAAGGAAUUGACGGGGACCCGCACAAGCGGUGGAUGAUGUGGAUUAAUUCGAUGCAACGCGAAAAACCUUACCUACCCUUGACAUGUCCAGGAGUCCGAAGAGAUUUGGAUGUGCUCGAAAGAGAACUGGAACACAGGUGCUGCAUGGCUGUCGUCAGCUCGUGUCGUGAGAUGUUGGGUUAAGUCCCGCAACGAGCGCAACCCUUGUCGUUAAUUGCCAUCAUUUAGUUGGGCACUUUAACGAGACUGCCGGUGACAAACCGGAGGAAGGUGGGGAUGACGUCAAGUCCUCAUGGCCCUUAUGGGUAGGGCUUCACACGUCAUACAAUGGUCGGUACAAAGGGUUGCCAACCCGCGAGGGGGAGCUAAUCCCAUAAAGCCGAUCGUAGUCCGGAUCGUAGGCUGCAACUCGCCUGCGUGAAGUCGGAAUCGCUAGUAAUCGUGGAUCAGCAUGUCACGGUGAAUACGUUCCCGGGUCUUGUACACACCGCCCGUCACACCAUGGGAGCGGGUUCCGCCAGAAGUAGGUAGCCUAACCGCAAGGAGGGCGCUUACCACGGCGGGGUUCGUGACUGGGGUGAAGUCGUAACAAGGUA
rnacentral:rRNA from 1 species